UACGUAGGGGGCAAGCGUUGUCCGGAUUUACUGGGCGUAAAGAGCGUGUAGGCGGCCAAGCAGGUCCGUUGUGAAAACUGGAGGCUUAACCUCCAGACGUCGACGGAAACCGCGUGGCUAGAGUCCGGAAGAGGAGAGUGGAAUUCCUGGUGUAGCGGUGAAAUGCGUAGAUAUCGUGAGGAAUACCAGAGGCGAAGGCGGCUCCCUGGACAAUUGCUGACACUCAGGCACGAAAGCGUGGGGAGCAAAAGGG
rnacentral:rRNA from 1 species